UGAACAAUAAUGGAUAUUUGAUCUUCGCAGCGGAUUUGUUCACUUCCAAUAUAGUGUGCCAGCAUUUUUAUAUGGGAAUUGCAUUGUACUGAAAAAAAAAGAAGUGAAGAUACGAAAAUUAGUUCUAAUCAUCUUGUCACAGCAGCUCUGACACUCGUGAUGAUGUUACAAAUCAAGCUUCGAAUAUUUUGGCACCUGCAUGCCUGUUGCUUGCAAUGAGUUUUUUUUACAGAGCCAUGAUAACUAAUUAGUUACUGACUUUCGGUUAGUGGACUAUCUCUUGCAGCAGUUGAGUACUUUCCACUCCUCUACCGUGGUGUAAUGCCUUGUAAUUCGUUUGCUGCGAAUGGAACACGGUUUCCAUGUGGCCGAAAUUUUCGUCCAAGUAAAAGCGCUACAUAUUUGAUUAUGGUCGCUAAUUCUAAACGUGACGCGACUUCUUCGUUUGUUCAGCAAGAGGAAUCCAUACUGGACAGUUUGCUUAUGUACUAAUCGAGCGUAAUUGUGAAAGUCGUACAGUACGAGCAGAAUACAAUCCGUGCAAUCGUAAGAUACUGUUCAGCACGAAAAAGGUGUUGGGAAACCGGCGGAACAGUUUACACAGCGGAAAGUCCAAACCGGAAAGAAACCGAGC